AUGGAGCAAUGCGAGCAAGGGCUGCACCAUGGGGCCGCGCCCAGGAGCAGGGUUGCCCCGCCCAAGAGUAAGCAGCAAGGGCUGCCGCGUCCAGGAGCAAGGGCUGCCGCGCUCCAUUGCCAGGUUUCAGGUCGACGUGCUCAGGAGCACGCGCUGCCGCGGGCGAGUGCCAUGGCCAGGGGCUCGGGCUCGGGCCGCCGCGCCCAGGAAGAGGGAGGGGAGAGAGAGGUCGCGCGGCUAGGACUUCACGGCGGCUCCGGGCGCAACUUGCCGGCGGAGGAGGCAGCGGCCGAAAGGAGCUCCGCGGCGGCCCUUACUGCACGCCGACGGCUGCGGCGGCGCAGCUCCUCUCGGGCUUGA
rnacentral:rRNA from 1 species